ensembl:rRNA 5S_rRNA 5S ribosomal RNA
GCUUACGGCCAUACCACCCUGCGAACGCCCGAUCUCGUCUGAUCUCGGAAGCUAAGCAGGGUCGGGCCUGGUUAGUACUUGGAUGGGAGACCGCCUGGGAAUACCAGGUGCUGUAAGCU